UCCUUUUAGAUUUGAAAAAAUCUGGAUGUAUGCGGAGGGAAUUCAGAAAAGGAUCCGUCGGGCCUGGUUGACUCAUGGGGACAAUUCUCCUGUGGAUAAACUGACCAAGCUUCUUGCUCAAACCAGAAAAGCCCUUCGGAAGUGGAAAGGAUUCAUGGCCAAUAUUUUCAAGAAAGGACAGGAGUUAAAUGAGAUGUUAUUUAAGUUACGGG
rnacentral:lncRNA from 1 species